AAAAAAAAAAAACGACUCUUCUAUAAGUCAAGAGAUACAGAAAUGCACAAAAAGAACUGCAAAUUGAGAAAUGCCUAUAUAUCAUGGAUUAAAGAAAAAAGGAUAUUCACAAUGGAAACGAACCUAUGCGAUGCAUUGAAACCAAUCUUUCACUUUUUCUUCUUUUUCUUGACCUUUUCAAUCAUUAUCCUAAUAAUUUUCACAUCCAAGCUUAACGAUU
rnacentral:misc_RNA from 1 species